rnacentral:tRNA from 1 species
GGUCUUAUAGUCAAUAUUGAUUUUAAAUUGCAAAUUUAAAGGUGAAUUAAUUUCUAAGGCUU